UACGAAGGGUGCAAGCGUUGCUCGGAAUCACUGGGCGUAAAGGGUGCGUAGGCGGGUCUUUAAGUCAGGGGUGAAAUCCUGGAGCUCAACUCCAGAACUGCCUUUGAUACUGAGAAUCUUGAGUUCGGGAGAGGUGAGUGGAACUGCGAGUGUAGAGGUGAAAUUCGUAGAUAUUCGCAAGAACACCAGUGGCGAAGGCGGCUCACUGGCCCGAUAACUGACGCUGACGGCACGAAAGCGUGGGGAGCAAACAGGG
rnacentral:rRNA from 1 species